CACGUAGGGGGCAAGCGUUGUCCGGAUUUAUUGGGCGUAAAGAGCUCGUAGGUGGUUCGGUAAGUCAGGUGUGAAACCUCCAGGCUCAACCUGGAGACGCCACUUGAUACUGCUGUGACUGGAGUCCGGUAGGGGAGCGUGGAAUUCCUGGUGUAGCGGUGAAAUGCGCAGAUAUCAGGAGGAACACCGGUGGCGAAGGCGGGUCUCUGGGCCGAUACUGACGCUGAGGAGCGAAAGCGUGGGGAGCAAACAGG
rnacentral:rRNA from 1 species